AUGGGAUGGAGCUGGAUUAUUAUUGUCUUCUUCAUGUCAAUAACUACAGGUGUCCACUCCCAGGUCCAGCUGCAGCAGUCUGGUCCUGAGCUGGGGACACCUGGUGCCUCAGUGAAGUUGUCUUGCAAGGCUUCAGGCUAUACCUUCCCUAGCAACACUAUGCACUGGAUGAAGCAGAGGCCUGGACAGGGCCUGGAGUGGAUUGGAUACUUUUAUCCUGAAUAUGACAUUGUUAACUAUAAUCAGAAGUUCCAGGGCAAGGCCAAACUGACUGCAGACACAUCCUCCAGCACAGCCUACAUGGAGCUCAACAGGCUGACCUCUGAGGACUCUGCGGUCUAUUACUGUGCAAGAGACACAGUGUUGCAACCACAUCCUGAGUGUGUCAGAAAGCCUGGAGGAGCAGGAAGCUGCCCUGGGACUGAGAUGACAGAGAUGUUUAGCCUGGGGACUUGCUCAGAAAUAAUCGUUCUGAGUGUCCCUUUGUCUGUCAUUUCACAGUCUUAUAGGGUGUUUUUCAACUUUUCAAAAGGACUGCUGGGAAUAAAGUGA